UCUGCAUUCUCCACACUCUCUCACCGACCAGAGAGACGAGAGAGUGUGUGAAAUGAGGAGA
rnacentral:pre_miRNA from 1 species